UACGUAGGGUGCAAGCGUUGUCCGGAAUUAUUGGGCGAAAGAGCUCGUAGGCGGUCUGUCACGUCGGCUGUGAAAACCCGGGGCUCAACCCCGGGCCUGCAGUCGAUACGGGCAGACUAGAGUGCGGUAGGGGAGACUGGAAUUCCUGGUGUAGCGGUGGAAUGCGCAGAUAUCAGGAGGAACACCAAUGGCGAAGGCAGAUCUCUGGGCCGUAACUGACGCUGAGGAGCGAAAGCAUGGGGAGCGAACAGG
rnacentral:rRNA from 1 species